UACGAAGGGGGCUAGCGUUGCUCGGAAUCACUGGGCGUAAAGCGCACGUAGGCGGAUUGUUAAGUCAGGGGUGAAAUCCUGGAGCUCAACUCCAGAACUGCCUUUGAUACUGGCGAUCUCGAGUCCGGGCGAGGUGAGUGGAACUGCGAGUGUAGAGGUGAAAUUCGUAGAUAUUCGCAAGAACACCAGUGGCGAAGGCGGCUCACUGGCCCGGUACUGACGCUGAGGUGCGAAAGCGUGGGGAGCAAACAGG
rnacentral:rRNA from 1 species